GCGUAAUGAUGGCCAGGCUGUCUCCACCCGAGACUCAGUGAAAUUGAACUCGCUGUGAAGAUGCAGUGUACCCGCGGCAAGACGGAAAGACCCCGUGAACCUUUACUAUAGCUUGACACUGAACAUUGAGCCUUGAUGUGUAGGAUAGGUGGGAGGCUUUGAAGUGUGGACGCCAGUCUGCAUGGAGCCGACCUUGAAAUACCACCCUUUAAUGUUUGAUGUUCUAACGUGGACCCGUAAUCCGGGUUGCGGACAGUGUCUGGUGGGUAGUUUGACUGGGGCGGUCUCCUCCUAAAGAGUAACGGAGGAGCACGAAGGUUGGCUAAUCCUGGUCGGACAUCAGGAGGUUAGUGCAAUGGCAUAAGCCAGCUUGACUGCGAGCGUGACGGCGCGAGCAGGUGCGAAAGCAGGUCAUAGUGAUCCGGUGGUUCUGAAUGGAAGGGCCAUCGCUCAACGGAUAAAAGGUACUCCGGGGAUAACAGGCUGAUACCGCCCAAGAGUUCAUAUCGACGGCGGUGUUUGGCACCUCGAUGUCGGCUCAUCACAUCCUGGGGCUGAAGUAGGUCCCAAGGGUAUGGCUGUUCGCCAUUUAAAGUGGUACGCGAGCUGGGUUUAGAACGUCGUGAGACAGUUCGGUCCCUAUCUGCCGUGGGCGCUGGAGAACUGAGGGGGGCUGCUCCUAGUACGAGAGGACCGGAGUGGACGCAUCACUGGUGUUCGGGUUGUCAUGCCAAUGGCACUGCCCGGUAGCUAAAUGCGGAAGAGAUAAGUGCUGAAAGCAUCUAAGCACGAAACUUGCCCCGA
rnacentral:rRNA from 1 species